rnacentral:rRNA from 1 species
UACGUAGGGGGCAAGCGUUGUCCGGAAUCAUUGGGCGUAAAGCGAGCGUAGGCGGCCCGAUAAGUCUGCUGUGAAAGUCAACGGCUCAACCGUUGAAAGCCGGUGGAUACUGUCGGGCUAGAGUUCGGAAGAGGCAAGUGGAAUUCCUGGUGUAGCGGUGGAAUGCGCAGAUAUCAGGAGGAACACCCAUAGCGAAGGCAGCUUGCUGGGACGAUACUGACGCUGAGACGCGAAAGCGUGGGGAGCAAACAG